GUGACUCUCCCUUUUAAAGUGGCUUCCUCCUCCCAAGUUAAGCAAGGUGGGAUAAUUCUGAGGCUCACACGGUUGCCGUCCGACUACAAUUGGGCCAACUGGACCAAUUGCGUCUUUGCCAACGGGUAAUAGUGGAGGAUGUCCUCAUCAUUCCCACCUUCUUAAAAUGGGCCCUAGCUCUGAUACCAGAUGAUACACCCAACCCAGGUGGGGUUGGCCGAGGCCCAACAAAUUAGGGUUGCUGGGGCCCAACAGUUCAUUAAGCACACCCAACUCAGGGAAAGGCCCAAUCGCCCCAAAAGACUAGUCCAAUGGGGGAAGGGUGGCUCUCCCUUUUAAAGUGGCUUCCUCCUCCCAAGUUAAGCGAGGUGGGAUAAUUCUGAGGCUCACACGGUCGUCGUCCGACUACAAUUGGGCCAACUGAGCCAAUUGCGUUUUUGCCAACGGGUAAUAGUGGAGGAUGUCCUCAUCAUUGGGCGUUCGGGUUUACCUAAAUUUUUGGGUUUUUUACAUUUUGGGUUUUCAGCAGUCGAACCCGAACUCAAACCCGGAAUUUGGGUACCCACAAUUUCGGGUUCGUGUAACAUUAAACUACUCGGUAUUAA
rnacentral:lncRNA from 1 species